rnacentral:rRNA from 1 species
UACGUAGGGUGCAAGCGUUAAUCGGAAUUACUGGGCGUAAAGCGCGCGCAGGCGGUCUUCCAAGUCAGUGGUGAAAGCCUGGAGCUCAACUCCAGAACUGCCAUUGAAACUGUUAGACUUGAGUACGAGAGAGGUGAGUGGGAUUCCCAGUGUAGAGGUGAAAUUCGUAGAUAUUGGGAAGAACACCAGUGGCGAAGGCGGCUCACUGGCUCGUAACUGACGCUCAGGCGCGACAGCGUGGGGAGCAAACAGG